CCUUGGGUGACGAGUGGCGGACGGGUGAGUAAUGUCUGGGGAUCUGCCCGAUAGAGGGGGAUAACCACUGGAAACGGUGGCUAAUACCGCAUAACGUCGCAAGACCAAAGAGGGGGACCUUCGGGCCUCUCACUAUCGGAUGAACCCAGAUGGGAUUAGCUAGUAGGCGGGGUAAUGGCCCACCUAGGCGACGAUCCCUAGCUGGUCUGAGAGGAUGACCAGCCACACUGGAACUGAGACACGGUCCAGACUCCUACGGGAGGCAGCAGUGGGGAAUAUUGCACAAUGGGCGCAAGCCUGAUGCAGCCAUGCCGCGUGUAUGAAGAAGGCCUUCGGGUUGUAAAGUACUUUCAGCGGGGAGGAAGGCGACGGGGUUAAUAACCCUGUCGAUUGACGUUACCCGCAGAAGAAGCACCGGCUAACUCCGUGCCAGCAGCCGCGGUAAUACGGAGGGUGCAAGCGUUAAUCGGAAUUACUGGGCGUAAAGCGCACGCGGGCGGUCUGUUAAGUCAGAUGUGAAAUCCCCGGGCUUAACCUGGGAACUGCAUUUGAAACUGGCAGGCUUGAGUCUUGUAGAGGGGGGUAGAAUUCCAG
rnacentral:rRNA from 1 species